rnacentral:rRNA from 1 species
GACGAACGCUGGCGGCGUGCUUAACACAUGCAAGUCGUACGGUAAGGCCCUUUCGGGGGUACACGAGUGGCGAACGGGUGCGUAACACGUGCGUAACCUGCCCACAACUUUGGGAUAACGCUAGGAAACUGGUGCUAAUACUGGAUAUGUGCUCCUGCUUCAUGGUGGGGGUUGGAAAGCUCCGGCGGUUGUGGAUGGACUCGCGGCCUAUCCGCUUGUUGGUGGGGUAGUGGCCUACCCAGGCGGCGACGGGUAGCCGGCCUGUGAGGGUGACCGGCCACAUUGGGACUGAGAUACGGCCCAGACUCCUACGGGAGGCAGCAGUGGGGAAUAUUGCACAAGGGGCGCAAGCCUGAUGCAGCAACGCCGCGUGCGGGAUGACGGCCUUCGGGUUGUAAACCGCUUUCAGCAGGGACGAAGCUUUUUGUGACGGUACCUGCAGAAGAAGCACCGGCUAACUACGUG